AGCGAACGCUGGCGGCAGGCCUAACACAUGCAAGUCGAACGAACCUUUCGGGGUUAGUGGCGGACGGGUGAGUAACACGUGGGAACGUGCCUUUAGGUUCGGAAUAACUCAGGGAAACUUGUGCUAAUACCGAAUGUGCCCUUCGGGGGAAAGAUUAAUCGCCUUUAGAGCGGCCCGCGUCUGAUUAGCUAGUUGGUUGAGGUAAUGGCUCACCAAGGCGACGAUCAGUAGCUGGUCUGAGAGGAUGAUCAGCCACAUUGGGACUGAGACACGGCCCAAACUCCUACGGGAGGCAGCAGUGGGGAAUCUUGCGCAAUGGGCGAAAGCCUGACGCAGCCAUGCCGCGUGAAUGAUGAAGGUCUUAGGAUUGUAAAAUUCUUUCACUGGGGACGAUAAUGACGGUACCCGGAGAAGAAGCCCCGGCUAACUUCGUG
rnacentral:rRNA from 1 species